UUUAAUGGCUAACAGGGAAUGAUGCAACAGUGAUUGACCAAAAUAAUAAGAAUAUCACAGAUGUUGUAAUAUCUUGAUCAGAAAGUUACAACACUGUCGACAAGAAGACGAAUCCUCUCUCGGAUUUGAAAGUGUCUUUGGCGGGCUGCGUAGAAUAAAUCCCUUCAUCUGGAUUUGACCUUCCUCCCCCCAGCCUCUCACUGAAAUCUGGGGUAACGAGAGCUGGAUCCACUUGAUCUCAGCCCCAGCGAGAAAGCGGCUUGAUAAAAUCAUCGGGUAACCGAGCAGCAUCAUGCCGCAGUCAUGGAGUUGAAUUGCAGUUGGACCAGGAAACCUUGUUAAAGAGCUAUCCAACGGCACGUUUUGAUCUCUCUGCUUGGGCCUGGAGUUGAACCUGCAUUUUUCAAGUCCCUUGUUUUGGAGAGCGCUCCCCAAGGGCUGGUAUCGGAUGAGGAGGGGGAGAUUCUGCCAUCAUUCCUUCUACUUCGGGACCUCUGGCACUAUUUGACUCGGAGAGAUUGCUUAGAGAAAGGAUCCUGUGUCCGACUAAGAAGAGUGGGAAAACCUUCAGCUCCAGGGAGAGCAACUGUGACCAGGCCGGGGGUGGCCUCCCUUCCUGCUGAAGAGGAGAGCAGGCGUGUUUGAGCACCAGGGGACCUCCAGGGAGGUGCAGUAGUUUUCAGGCUUGUUAGGUGUCGAUGAACAGCAGCUGCUGCCCGGCCACUGCUUUUAAGGGCUUCAGCUUUCUGAAACUCGCCCAUACCAGUGUGGAGCCACGCUCAAGUGCAAACCGACCGAAGUCGUCUGGUGUAAUGUCUCCAGAGCAGGCACAAUGGGGAGUCUCUUCGGCAUGGACAGCGAGGGUGGUCUUACCCUGGAAGCCACUUCUCGGAGGCCUAGGAGAUUGGUUCGGAGAGACCUCGCUCCUCCAGCCCAACAAAUCCGAACUUCUACAUCUGAUGGGAGACCGAGUGCCUCACUGAGGUAAGAAAGGCUAAGAAAAAAGAAAGGUAAGAAAGGUAGGGCAUUCUUGGAGAUCUUUUGCGACUAAGUACACCCAAAUAUUUACAAUAUCGGAGAGAUCUGUACAUCAAGCUUUGGCUUUGUACAUCGAGUUCAGCCUGGAAGAGUAUGCAGUUCCAUUUACUUCAACAGGCUCUGGUGAAUUCAUAAGUGUUGGGAAAUCAGAUUUUUUUUUUUCCUUUUCAUAAUGGAGUCAUUCCAAUUCACUCCACUAACCCCCCAGCAUUUAUGUAAAUCUCAAUGGAAAAUGUUUAUAACAUUCUUCCAUUUGUGCACAUAGGCACCGUGCAUUUGUGUGGCUGAGUCUGCUGCCUGCAUGUUUAUAAACAGAUGUGAGUGUUUGUGUCUGUUCUGUCCUCCCCACUAGACUGGAAGUCCAGUGGAUCGAUUGAUUGAUCUCACAGCGUUGGUAGAAGUUCGGAGGAGCCCCACAGCGAGGAGUCAGGGGAGGCUGUAACGCUCUCCCAGGGAAAAGCAGUCAGCAGACGCCAAUGAACAAUUUUACUCGGUAUUUUUAUUCACUUAACAGAAACAUUCACUUAUCACUGAAGUGCAAUUUACAGAACUUAGCAGCAAAUUCACAUAUGUAAAUUUGGAUUUCUUUUUUUUUUUUUUUUUUUACAAAUAUUACAAAUGUACAUCCAUUAGUACAGUAUUGCCAUUCAAUCAUGCUUUUUAUAUACAGAUCUUCCUUUAAGAAUUACUCUUGAGUAAGUUCCUUUUGCUGCAGAAAAUGCUGUCUAUUGAACUUAAUUGCUGGGAUGUGUUCCCGAUUGUACUGUGUUAAUGCAUAUACUAAGGAACAGUAGAAAUCUAGUGCCGGAUUGAAAUCAGGUCACCGAAUCCAGGUUGUUUUCUGGCGUGGGCGCUCAUCCUCUUCCCAACGGCAAGGUCCUGCCAUGUUCCGAACUCCAGUAUUCCUGACACCAGAACCUAUGAUGUUCUGAUUUCCCUUCAAUUUGGUAUCGUUUCACGGUUUAGGCUUGGGAGUCAGACCGAAUGAAAAAGCUCCAGGUGAGACCCCCCCCCCCCAGCGGACCCUACAAACUCAGGCCCCUGUGGCCGACGUCCAACUCAAAGCCUAACAUCAGAUGGACGAAGGAAGUGCAGCAGAAGUAGCAGCAUUAUUUGGUUGCGAUUCGGGAUCCAGAGUGGGUAAGCCAGACUACUUCGAGAGGGGGGUUUGGUUACAGCUCUACCUUCCGUCCCUGCCUGACCCCUUGGGCGAACAGGACGUGGGUGCGCGCCCUGCCACGGUAUCGGUGUUGGCGCCACGGGCCCAGGCCGGGGGAGCCCACGUCUUCCCAACCGUCCGUCGGCUUCCACCGGCUCGGUGCCGUGACUGGCUGCAGGGAGGCAGAGUAAGGUGGCUGGAUUCCUUUUCACUACAGUGACGGGUGGGGAGGAGGGGAAGA